UACGUAGGGGGCGAGCGUUGUCCGGAUUUAUUGGGCGUAAAGCGCGCGUAGGCGGUCCGUUAAGUCGGAUGUGAAAAUCCGGGGCUCAACCCCGGACCUGCAUCCGAUACUGGCGGGCUGGAGGCAGGUAGGGGAGAUCGGAAUUCCUGGUGUAGCGGUGAAAUGCGCAGAUAUCAGGAGGAACACCGGUGGCGAAGGCGGAUCUCUGGGCCUGUCCUGACGCUCAGGCGCGAAAGCUAGGGGAGCAAACAGG
rnacentral:rRNA from 1 species